rnacentral:tRNA from 1 species
GCGGGCAUAGCUCAGUUGGUAGAGCAUCGGCUUCCCAAGCCGAAGGCCACGGGUUCGAAUCCCGUUGCCCGCU